rnacentral:tRNA from 1 species
UCCCAUAAUGGUCUAGUGGGUAGGAUCCGGCGCUCUCACCGCUGUGGCCCGGGUUCGAUUCCCGGUGUGGGAA